rnacentral:misc_RNA from 1 species
ACUUAUAGAGUUUGUAGAAAUCUUUCUAAAUAUUUUCAGUAGAGUAACCUUACGACAAAUUUUGCUUACCUGUAAAUCCUUAGUAAAAAAAGAGUUUGCUAUUACCUUGUAACUUGAACGCAAAUCAGCUUCUUGUUUAUAUGGAAUUGAGGAACGUUUUGUUUCCUUUUCUAGUCACCUGUUAUUAAAGUGUAAAUUAAAUGCAUUUGAUCCCAUUUUUUAAAUGAUUAUACAGUUUUUUGAGCUAUUCCUUAUUCUACCUGAAGUUUUAUUAAGAGCAUUUAACUUAUUCUACCUAUUCUACUGUAUUAUAUACACACCAAUAUUAAUUAAUUAGUAUACACACGUAAAAAACGCAUUAUAUAGGAAUCCACUAUGAUAAAAAAAAACUGUUCUGCCUUUUAAGCAAAAAAAAAAAUGGAAAAAAUACUCAUGCAGGUCAUUUAAAACUUUUAUGUAUAUAUAUUUUGGGAUUGAAGUUUUCGUGCCACAAACUUUCUCAAAUAACUUUCAUGCUACAAUUAGUGUUACUGAUAUGUUGUGAACUAGUUCUGUCUCCAUUUUGAAGAGUUGUGUGUGCGUGGAUAUUUUGUGUUUGUGACAUAUCAUGUUUCAAAUCAUUUUAAUAUCAACCAUGUGAAAGUAUGAAUCAUUAUGACUACAUUCCUUUUGUGUACAUAACCGAUGCUGUGUAUAGUAUAAUCCAUUAACGAUAAUAAAAAAUGGUACAACCAC